GGCAGGUGACAGGAAGCAUGAGGGAUGGGAAGGGCUGCACUCAGGUUAGCAGAGACCAUUCCUGAGCUUCCUGGCAACCAAGCUUCCUCCACAUGCCUAGGAGACAACAGUGAAAAGGCCGGGUGUGGUGGGAGCAACUGAUAAUUAAAGCCAGAACCCUGUAUCAGGCAGGGGACCGGAGGACUCUCCAGUCACAGGGAGGAAGAUCAGUGCACAAAGCCACAGAGGAGAGUGUUGCUGGCCUUACAAACAUUCUAACUGGAAUGUGCUACAGAAACUCCAGAAAUGCGUUGGCUAUUCCUUCUGUGGAGAAUCUCUGCCUGCUUGUGUCCCUCCUUGGCAUCUCCAGGGCACUGCGAAGCCAAAGUUGUCUAAAAAGAGAUCAAGAAAUACCCCAUCUGUCUCUAUGGAUGGAGCUACUAUUUAUUAAGAGGCAAGACUACACUAACCACUUACAGUAUCUCACUUAAUCCUCUCUGUGCAAUUCCCUGUGGGAGACAUUCUUUGUCUGCAGUUGAGGAAACUGAGUCUCAGAAACACAGAGUUAGGAUCUGGACCCUGCUCCUUCUUCUCCAAGCCCUUGCUUCUAAUUGCUAUGCUGCUGCCCUGCAUUCCUUAGAUCAUCAGAAUGCAGGCCUAUCCUUACCCCUUAACUCAGCAAAGUUUUCUGUAGAGUCAGGCAAAAAUUCCCCUAACAUUUUCUCCCAUGCAAUUGAAUCCUUUGCUUUGGCAAAUCCACCCGCCCCCUUAGAACUUUCACGCCGGCUCUGGUCUUUCCAGAGGCGUCUCUCUGACUCUUCUAGAUAGCAUUUCAGCUGUCUCUGUCCCUACUCUCCUUUUUCCUGCUCUGUCAGCUCACCUGAGGAACUAGUAUCUAUGUGUUCUGCUCCCUUUUUUAAAAGCAGACGAAUCCAUAAGGCAACCACAGGCCAUUUGACCCCACACUGAAUCUCUUAGGUAUUUCUCCCACUUGGGGCAGGGUGGGGGCCUCCCAAGCUGAAGUUGUAUAUUCUUCCUCUUCUUGACCUUCUCAAGGUUGGGUUUGGCAUUCCAUUAAGCUGGGACAGUCUGCCUUCCUGAGUCCUCGUAAUUCUAAAUUAUGUCUUUGCCAUUGGCUGGGAUAAUAGCCCCAGAUAAGAGGGAGCAGACAUUCAAAUAGAGUACUGUGGUCCUCUGGCAUGACCUUGGCUCGGAGAGACCCAAGAACCCAGUCUGUAUGAACCCGAGGGAAGAAACAGCUUCACUGUCCUAAGGAACACACAGUCCUAUCUCCAAGCACCAGGAGAGGAUGAGUCACAAACUAGUGAGCAGAUUUCGGGGGCUGGGGAUACCUAUUUGCUGUGAGGCACACUGUCAGCCCCCCCUUUUUUUAAGAAGGAAAGAGAGAAAGCCAAGCUGACAGUGAUGGAACUCAACAAUAGGAUAUGAAAGAUAAUUAUCCAAAGCAGACAGGGACAGCCAAGUUCUAAGUGUUGAGUGAUGAUAAGUGGUCCAGGCAGUCAUAGGAAGAGCGGAGUUGACCUGGGAGAAAA